AUUCUCAUUCUCAUUCUUCUUCUUCUUCUGACUUGUUCCAUUUUGGUUGAAGGCAGGUGAACUUACCUGCUGCAUUUUAUGUAGUGCUUAAACCUGAUUGGUGUGUCUACAAUUAAGCAAUCAUGUGUUUGCAAACCUGGUGGCUGUGUUUAACCAAUUAGUUCAUGGGUGUGUUCAAUUAAAAGCCAUUGCAUUGAAAUUGUAAGGAAAUGACA